UACGAAGGGGGCUAGCGUUGCUCGGAAUUACUGGGCGUAAAGCGCACGUAGGCGGAUUGUUAAGUCGGGGGUGAAAUCCUGGAGCUCAACUCCAGAACUGCCUUCGAUACUGGCGAUCUCGAGUCCGGGAGAGGUGAGUGGAAUUGCGAGUGUAGAGGUGAAAUUCGUAGAUAUUCGCAAGAACACCAGUGGCGAAGGCGGCUCACUGGCCCGGUACUGACGCUGAGGUGCGAAAGCGUGGGGAGCAACAGG
rnacentral:rRNA from 1 species